GAUUGUCGCUUCGCAUCGCAUUCUCUGACCGUUGACCACGCUGUGCUGAUCGUGACCGCUAUUUUGAGUUGACGAUUCGCCAAUACCUACACGAUCGGUGUUCUUCCGUCGUUUUCUGACCAUCUGUGUCUGGAGAGGCUCUUGGAACUUGAAACGUUAGUCGCGACACAUAACUGGGAUAACACGUGCGAGAGAAAAGCCACGUACGUAUCUACUACAAUUCCUCAACAACGAUAACGAUGUCGAUCACCGAGUUUAGCCAGGAGAUGACGGCGGCAGCGGCUAAUUUCAACGAUAAUCUGCCAUGUGAUAUCAAGUCGGAGAAUACCCAGCAGACUACAGCUAUGCUAACCACACAGAACGCUCUCACCUGGGAGAUGGUGCCCAACAUCAU